CCUUGCAUUCUAUUUGAUUAGUUUAUGUGUUUUUCAAUUAUUUUGCAAAAUAAAGGAAUUAGAAUAAUGUAGAUGAUGAACAAUGAACGUCUGUCAAAAAAGCAACGUUCGCAAAAAACUGUCCAUCGACUCGGUUAUUGUGUGAUUAUGUAUUGGGUGGGGAUUCAAAGUUAGUGUUAAACUUGGUACUUUCUGGUUUUACAGGAAGUUUCUUAAGUUUUGAAGCCAUAACCAGAAAUUUUAUUGAAAAAAGGUUGCGAUCAUAAUUUCUGUCAAUUUUAGUGAAUGACGUUCGCACAUUUGUUCCUCAGUUUUAUAGCUGUUACUUCCCUUUUUUGCAUAGUGACAAGAAACUACGAUUAAAUCCGUAAGUAUCCGAAUGCAAAAACAUGGUCAAAUUAUGACGCUCGAUUACAUGAUCCAAAUUAUUUUGAUUUGCAGAAAGGUAGACUUGUGGCGAUGAUUUGGCGGACAGUUUGAUUGAAGACAUUGGUAUACCUGCUUCCAAGCAAAGUGACUGGAAGCAUUUGAAGACUUGUGGCGAUGAUUUGGCGGACAGUUUGAUUGAAGACAUUGGUAUACCUGCUUCCAAGCAAAGGUUGUUCAAACCCAUGAACUGCACAGAGAGGAGAAAGUCUAUGGAUUGUGGGUCCAGUUCUAUAAGAAAGGAAAGCGACAAUUAUGGACAUUGGAGGAGAAAUCUUUCUUUGUUUGUUGUUAAACAACUUGCUGAACCUUUACUGUCUAUGCAUGGAUCUAGAUUAUACUACAAAUUUCAAGUGUUUGGUGUACAGUUACACUUAAUAGCCCAUCAGAAAAGGCCGACAUGGUGACUGGUGCUUUUACAUCCA